rnacentral:rRNA from 1 species
UACGAGAGGCCCAAACGUUAUUCGGAUUUACUGGGCUUAAAGAGUUCGUAGGCGGUCCGUCAAGUGGGGUGUGAAAGCCCUCGGCUCAACCGAGGAAUUGCGCUCCAAACUGUCGGGCUCGAGGGAGAUAGAGGUGAGCGGAACUGAUGGUGGAGCGGUGAAAUGCGUUGAUAUCGGGAGGAACACCUGUGGCGAAGGCGACCCCCUGGUUGGAUACUGACGCUGAGACGCGAAAGCGUGGGGAGCAAACAGG